rnacentral:rRNA from 1 species
AUUGAACGCUGGCGGCAGGCCUAACACAUGCAAGUCGAGCGGAUGAAGGGAGCUUGCUCCUGGAUUCAGCGGCGGACGGGUGAGUAAUGCCUAGGAAUCUGCCUGGUAGUGGGGGAUAACGUCCGGAAACGGGCGCUAAUACCGCAUACGUCCUGAGGGAGAAAGUGGGGGAUCUUCGGACCUCACGCUAUCAGAUGAGCCUAGGUCGGAUUAGCUAGUUGGUGGGGUAAAGGCCUACCAAGGCGACGAUCCGUAACUGGUCUGAGAGGAUGAUCAGUCACACUGGAACUGAGACACGGUCCAGACUCCUACGGGAGGCAGCAGUGGGGAAUAUUGGACAAAGGGCGAAAGCCUGAUCCAGCCAUGCCGCGUGUGUGAAGAAGGUCUUAGGAUUGUAAAGCACUUUAAGUUGGGAGGAAGGGCAGUAAGUUAAUACCUUGCUGUUUUGACGUUACCAACAGAAUAAGCACCGGCUAACUUCGUG